rnacentral:rRNA from 1 species
GAUGAACGCUGGCGGCGUGCCUAAUACAUGCAAGUCGAGCGAACGGACGAGAAGCUUGCUUCUCUGAUGUUAGCGGCGGACGGGUGAGUAACACGCGGAUAACCUACCUAUAAGACUGGGAUAACUUCGGGAAACCGUAGCUAAUACCGGAUAAUAUUUUGAACCGCAUGGUUCAAAAGUGAAAGACGGUCUUGCUGUCACUUAUAGAUGGAUCCGCGCUGCAUUAGCUAGUUGGUAAGGUAACGGCUUACCAAGGCAACGAUGCAUAGCCGACCUGAGAGGGUGAUCGGCCACACUGGAACUGAGACACGGUCCAGACUCCUACGGGAGGCAGCAGUAGGGAAUCUUCCGCAAAGGGCGAAAGCCUGACGGAGCAACGCCGCGUGAGUGAUGAAGGUCUUCGGAUCGUAAAACUCUGUUAUUAGGGAAGAACAUAUGUGUAAGUAACUGUGCACAUCUUGACGGUACCUAAUCAGAAAGCCACGGCUAACUACGUG